rnacentral:rRNA from 1 species
UAGGGAAUAUUGGUGAAUGGGCGAAAGCCUGAACCAGCAACGCCGCGUGUGCGAAGAAGGCCUUCGGGUCAUAAAGCACUUUUUGCCGGGAAGAGGAAGGACGGUACCGGCAGAAUAAGCCUCGGCUAACUACGUGCCAGCAGCCGCGGUAACACGUAGGAGGCAAGCGUUAUCCGAAUUUACUGGGCGUAAAGCGCGUGCAGGCGGUUCGGUAAGUUGGAUGUGAAAUCUCCCGGCUCAACUGGGAGGGGACGUUCAAUACUGUCGGACUUGAGGACGAUAGAGGGAGGUGGAAUUCCCGGUGUAGUGGUGAAAUGCGUAGAUAUCGGGAGGAACACCAGUGGCGAAAGCGGCCUCCUGGAUCGUUCCUGACGCUCAGACGCGAAAGCUAGGGGAGCGAACGG